GCUGUUUUAGCUAAAGUCAUUUUGUCUACACCAGCUGCAAGUUCUUAUAUUCCACGAUGAAGCUUAUUACCUUGGGUUUUGUACUUCUCGCACUUGUGUCAAAUUCCUUGGCUCUGAAAGACGCAAUUUGUGCUCCAUCUACUGUAAGGCCUGAUGGACUCGUAUGUCAAGUAGCUUAUAGAAGUUGGGUAUAUAACACUGCACAAAAUAAGUGCUUCCUAAGUAUCGGUUGUGAUGUAGGUCCCAAUAACUUCAAUUCCAAAAAAAAAUGCGAGGCCAAGUGCUUGGAAUAGCAUUGAGCGAAAAAGAAUGAAAUAAAUUAUUUUGAAGAAACUACAGGUCUCUGAUCUUAAUCCAAAUAUAAAGAUUCAGAUGAAAUAUC